CGGUCACCUCGGCUUCCCUGCGGCUUUCCGGGUCCGCACUUGACCUCGGGGUGAACCAAGCACACGCGCUGGGUCCCCGCCGGCAACAGAGGGUCCCUUCUCAGCAGCGCCUCCUCCUUCUCUUCCUCAUCUUCAGAUGCACGUUCACAUGAAGUGUGUCUUGGUGCUGAGGACGCUCUAUGAGGAACGGCAAUAAUCUGUGAAACUGAUCUUUUUUCCUGUAAAUUCAAGAGUUAGUUUAUCUCCCAGGUGGGCCUCCCAGGACAGCUUGAGGUCUUGAGACCCAGCUAGGGCUACGUGGAAAAGAAGACGCAGACACAGGAGCCGUGGGGGGUCAGCCCGUGCCCUACCUCCUGCUUCUGGCCCCGCGCACACACUGCCCUCACCGCACACUUGGGCUGGGCCUCCCUCCUGAUGGGGAGGUGAGCACCCGUGGGACUCAAGCAGCUGACCUGGCUCUGUGUAAGCGCGCCUCCCUUCCCUGAUGGCGGCUCCCAGGAUGCACAGUCUCACAUCCAGGCCCCCAGCAGAGUGACUGCCCGUGUCCGAGCCCUAGCACCUCUCUCCUCCGGCCUGAUGUGCAUUGUGGUCUUGGCCACUUGGCUUGAGCAGCGGGACUGAUAGAGCUGACCUCACUGUGGGGCCACCAGACCCCAAAGAUUUAAGGAUUCUGGGUCCCCCAGUGUCACCCAAGGGUGCCAUCAGGUGAUGGUCUUGUUCCUAACCCGUCUGCACCUGUGGCUCUCACCUGGUGACACUUGUCACUGCUGGGGACAUUACUGGUUGUCACACUGGGGAUGGGGUGCUCCUGGCAUGUGGUGGAUCGAGACCAGGGAUGCAGCUUGCAGUCCACCCAGCCUCAUGUCGGUCAUGAGAAACCCUGUCUAAUAUGGACGCUUUUUUAUUAUGAGUAAAAGUAGAUUUCUUCCAAGAUGUACGCUCCAUUGACAGGCUGUCUCAGACACAGAAGAAAGGCGGAGAGAUGCGGGGUUGGGUGCUUAAAGUCCAAGUAGACACACUCAGAGUGCGGGCCGUCCAGGGAGGCAGGGGAGCAAGAGGCCUGACGUGGAGACUUUCUAUCAAAAAUCUAUUAUCCGUGUAUCUGUCUAUCUGUUAUCUGUCAAUCAAUUAUCCACCAUCCGUCUAUCAGUUACGUAUCUGUCAAUCAUCUGCCCUGUCUAUAGAAAUGGUUCAUAACUGGGGCAGUUUUAACCCACAGGAGACACUUGGUGAUGUCAGGGGACAUGUCUGCUUGUCACAGCAGGGGAGGAGGAGCUGCUGGCAUCUGGUGAGUGCAGACCAGGGACUCUGCACCCGACACCACCCCCACAGAGAGUCGUCUAGCCCCAGCGGUCCCUGGUGCUGAGGGGAGAGCUGGGCCCUGGACUAAGGCAGGACUCGAACUUGGGACUCACUGGGCUGCCCCGUGUGUUGGGGGAAGAGGGGGGACCCAGGGCUGGUCCCUGUGUUGCGGGUGGAGGCGGGGCCUGGGGGCAAGUCCGCGUGCGGCCCUUGGGGGCAGAGCUGAUUCCUGGACCGGAGGCCUGUCACCGUUGGAUGUGGGAUGUCCUGUGACCCCAAAAAGGUGCAGUCUCCCUGCUGGGUCCGAGGUCACGUCGGGCCCUUCGGCCCCACGGCGACUAGAACAAGCCUGCCUGUAACAGCUGCUGGGCUUCCUCUGGAAGGGUGCUUUGUGGAUGACGUGGACGGGCCACCAGACCGCUGACUCCCUUCAGGUGCUCGGGGCUGCUGUGAUGUCUCCCUGGGCGCUGUCAUCUGCUAGGCCUAAGCGUGGACAGGCUGCUGGGCAGGGCUGGUGAUUUGGGUGAGUCUCCAUCCCUGAGGGGAGGCCCUGGUAACCUGCUGAGCUGAGUGGAGAUGCCUCAUCCCCACUGACCUCAAGGCAGGGCUGGCCGUUGGGGGCCACUGGUCACACAGGGUCCUGCCUUGGUCAGGGAUGGGGGCUGCUCCCCGGGCGGGUGGCCGUGUCCAGACCGUGCUGUCCUGGUGGGAUGUGAUCCAGGGGCACCUCCUGCCACCCUGGGAGCCCGCGGUGGCCCACAGCUCAGAAGAGGAGACUCAGUGGAGUGUCAGAGAGGCCACUGGGGCUGCGUUCUGGGGCCGGCCCUCCAUCCGUCUCCAUCAGGCUCUGUGUCCUCCUCCACCAGCGUCCAGCCCGUCCCCUCCAGGGCUCCAACUCUUCACGGAUCUCCAGCCUCCAUCUCUGAACAGGAACUGAUUCCCAAGACAGCACGUCUCUGACAUCCGCUUCUGUCUCUGAGGACUCUGAGCUCUUCCACGGAAGCCAUCAAUGUGGAAUCCGUCCCCGCCCAGGGGUGGUCCGGUGUGGUCCUGUGUGCUCCUGUGCGGCCCCUCAUCAUCCAGCUCUGCAGACAGAACCCAGCACCUCCUCUCUGCCCUGGCCCUGCUGUUGGAGCCUCUUGUGUCCCGUGCUGUGGGCCCAGCUGCUGGACAGAGAAACUGGUUCCCCAAGGCCUGCUCAGCGCCCAGAUGAUCGGACGGCCUGCCCAGGCCUGGGCAGGGGUGCUUGUCAGAUGCCUCCCCCGGACGUGCGGGGCCGCUCAUGCCUGUAAGUUUCACGUUGGUGCCAAACCAUGAGCCGUCCUGGACACGGGGGUGGCCUGAGCAGACCUUGGAGGGCGGACGCUGGGGUCUUUUCCACUGUCCGUAGGGGAGGGCCCCACCCUGUCGUGCACAGGCCAGCACUGACGCGGGAGAGAACGGCCACCGGGGUGGUGUCAGGAGCACUGUGGCUGGAGUGCAGGCCACAUGGCCAGACCGCCGGUCACACUGCUGGGGGCUCUCGGGUCCCAGGGCCUGUGACCCCCAGCCCGCUGGCCUCCCGACCCCGAGGGCCGUCCACACCCCUGCAGUCUCCCCCAGUAAUGCCCCCAUCCGUCCCCCCGUCCGUCUGUGAGCCGUGUCCAGAAACCCCGGUGCUAUGUCUGUCUCCAGCUGAGCCUGUGGCUGAAAAUCCUCAAAUUCUUUAUUUGAAAAUACAAACGUGAUCUCAUAAAACAUUUUUAAACUGCUCUGCACAGCAAAUAAAAGUUAACUUUACA